rnacentral:tRNA from 1 species
CCCGUGAUAGCUCAGUUGGUAGAGCGGAGCACUGUAGAUCCUUAGGUCGCUGGUUCAAAUCCGGCUCAUUGGGA